UUGUAUUUGCAGUUUAGCAUAGACAUGAGUGAUCAUAUAAGUGACAGUUGCCUGCAUCAAUUUACAUUAGAUCUCAGCCCGCAAUCAAAUUUGGUUAUUAAACAUCAAAGCAAGGGGUUGGAUGUUUUUCAUUAAUAUUACAUAUGCAUUAAAGGUAGAAUGACAACUUGACAUACAUCACAGCAAGCAUUCACAGAACAAGUAUUCCCAAAAUAAGACUCUACCUCUUACUGGUAAUAUGGACAAGGAGCAUUAUCAUUGAUUAGAUACAGCUUGCUUAUCCAAACGAAUAUAUGAUCCGUUCCUUUUCCAUUUCCUGAAGCAACCAGCGUACAACAUCAGAAUUUGAGACAAGUGUACGAAUGGAUUCAAUCAGGUUAUAAUUUCCUCAGUUUCUGUCACUACAAAGACACAUUUACGACAACAAAGAUCAAACAAGUCAGAGAAAUAGCAUCUGAAAUUCAUUUAUGAUGAUUAAAUCAAAUAGGCACCAUUAAUGCACUAAUGACAUAAUGUCAUAUGUUUUAACAAAAAUGAGAGCUAAGCAAAAAAAUGAAUACCAUUUUAUAGCCUUUCAGGCAACCAGUCCUGUGUACUUCAUGCAUUUUGGUAAUGAUGCAACUUGNNN
rnacentral:lncRNA from 1 species